UACGUAGGGCGCAAGCGUUGUCCGGAAUCAUUGGGCGUAAAGCGCGCGUAGGCGGCCUCGUACGUCCGCUGUGAAAGUCAAAGGCUCAACCUUUGAAAGCCGGUGGAUACUGUGAGGCUAGAGUACGGAAGAGGCGAGUGGAAUUCCUGGUGUAGCGGUGGAAUGCGUAGAUAUCUGGAGGAAUACCGGUGGCGAAGGCGGCAUCCUGGACCGACAUUGACGCUGAGGAGCGAAAGCCAGGGGAGCAAACGGG
rnacentral:rRNA from 1 species